rnacentral:rRNA from 1 species
GAGAGUGGCGAACGGGUGAGUAAUGCGUGACCGACCUGCCCCAUACACCGGAAUAGCUCCUGGAAACGGGUGGUAAUGCCGGAUGCUCCAGUUGAUCGCAUGGUCUUCUGGGAAAGCUUUCGCGGUAUGGGAUGGGGUCGCGUCCUAUCAGCUUGACGGCGGGGUAACGGCCCACCGUGGCUUCGACGGGUAGCCGGCCUGAGAGGGCGACCGGCCACAUUGGGACUGAGAUACGGCCCAGACUUCUACGGGAGGCAGCAUG